AUGACUGCUAUCCUGCUACUCAACAUAGCCUGCCUUCUUAGUUUCUGCCUGCCUUUGGCAGAGCCGUGUAAGUUGGCCAUCCAACCCAAGGCACCGAUUGUGGAAUUUGGGGGCUCUGUAAAACUCAACUGUACAUCCACCUGCACCAACUACACUAAAGUGGACUGGGAGGUGUCGUUUGCACGAGAUGUCAAGGAAGGAGAAGGGUGGAUUUCUCUGAACAUCAAGAACGUGACAGAAUGGACCACUCAACCAUUGUGUGUGGCUAGAUACAAGGAAUCAGACUCCAUCCACACCAGGGCAGUAAUCUAUGUUUACCAAUUCUCAACCCCAGAUAUCUACCUGGCUUCUGAGAUUGAGAGCGGUCGCUUGGACAAAAUAAUCUGCAACAUUUCUAGCCUGCGGGUGAGAGAUGAAAUCUCACCUAAGGUCAGCAUCUCCCUCAGCAGAGGUGCAACUCUCCUGAAUAGCAGCUAUGGUGAACCUUCAUUGGAAUACAGUUUUGUGGCCAGCCUUAAUCGAGACGAUGGGGCUGCGAUCAUUUGUAUGGCCUGGGUCGAGGUGGGCUCAGAGGUGUUGAAUAAGAGUGCAACAAGGACCUUGAAUAUUGUGGGUGAGUUCCAUUGCAGCAUAGCUGCUGUUGGCUCAGUUCUUGGAGCCCAGCAAGGUAAAGUGGAUAGACUUGGAGCAAUGGGUUCAAAUUACAGGAAAAGAGAUUCCACUUGAACAUUAAGGAGAACUUUCUGACUGUAAGAGCUGUUCAACCAUUAUUUAUUUGUUUGUUUAUUUAUUACAAACAUUUUAAUCCCGCCCUUCUCACCCCCGUGGAGGGGACUCAGGGUGGCUUACAACCAAAUAUAAAACAGAAUAUAUAAAAACAAUUACAAUUAAGCAGUAACAUCAAUUAAAACAUCCACAUAAUAUACAUUUAAAGGCCCAUUCCGAAUCAAAUCCAGGUCUGUCAGUUCUUCGUCAUAUGUUCAAUACAGUUAAUGCUGCAUCUGUCGCUCAAAAGCCUGGUCCCAUAACCAAGUUUUAAGUUUUUUAUGAAAAGACAAGAGAGAGGGAGCCUGCCUGAUCUCAUUAGGGAGGGCAUUCCACAGAUGAGGGGCCACCACCUCAUCUCUCAUCCCCACCAGUUGUGCUUGUGAGGGUGGUGGGAUCAAGAGCAGGGCCUCCCCCAAAGAUCUUAAACUGCGAGGUUGGU
rnacentral:lncRNA from 1 species